rnacentral:rRNA from 1 species
UUUGAACUGAAGAGUUUGAUCAUGGCUCAGAUUGAACGCUGGCGGCAGGCCUAACACAUGCAAGUCGAGCGGUAGAGAGAAGCUUGCUUCUCUUGAGAGCGGCGGACGGGUGAGUAAUGCCUAGGAAUCUGCCUGGUAGUGGGGGAUAACGUUCGGAAACGGACGCUAAUACCGCAUACGUCCUACGGGAGAAAGCAGGGGACCUUCGGGCCUUGCGCUAUCAGAUGAGCCUAGGUCGGAUUAGCUAGUUGGUGAGGUAAUGGCUCACCAAGGCGACGAUCCGUAACUGGUCUGAGAGGAUGAUCAGUCACACUGGAACUGAGACACGGUCCAGACUCCUACGGGAGGCAGCAGUGGGGAAUAUUGGACAAUGGGCGAAAGCCUGAUCCAGCCAUGCCGCGUGUGUGAAGAAGGUCUUCGGAUUGUAAAGCACUUUAAGUUGGGAGGAAGGGCAGUUACCUAAUACGUGAUUGUUUUGACGUUACCGACAGAAUAAGCACCGGCUAACUCUGUGCCAGCAGCCGCGGUAAUACAGAGGGUGCAAGCGUUAAUCGGAAUUACUGGGCGUAAAGCGCGCGUAGGUGGUUUGUUAAGUUGGAUGUGAAAUCCCCGGGCUCAACCUGGGAACUGCAUUCAAAACUGACUGACUAGAGUAUGGUAGAGGGUGGUGGAAUUUCCUGUGUAGCGGUGAAAUGCGUAGAUAUAGGAAGGAACACCAGUGGCGAAGGCGACCACCUGGAC